rnacentral:rRNA from 1 species
UGGGGAAUUUUGGACAAUGGGGGAAACCCUGAUCCAGCCAUCCCGCGUGUGCGAUGAAGGCCUUCGGGUUGUAAAGCACUUUUGGCAGGAAAGAAACGUCAUGGGUUAAUACCCCGUGAAACUGACGGUACCUGCAGAAUAAGCACCGGCUAACUACGUGCCAGCAGCCGCGGUAAUACGUAGGGUGCAAGCGUUAAUCGGAAUUACUGGGCGUAAAGCGUGCGCAGGCGGUUCGGAAAGAAAGAUGUGAAAUCCCAGAGCUCAACUUUGGAACUGCAUUUUUAACUACCGGGCUAGAGUGUGUCAGAGGGAGGUGGAAUUCCGCGUGUAGCAGUGAAAUGCGUAGAUAUGCGGAGGAACACCGAUGGCGAAGGCAGCCUCCUGGGAUGACACUGACGCUCAUGCACGAAAGCGUGGGGAGCAAACAGG